rnacentral:lncRNA from 1 species
AGAAAACUCUGUCCUCCAUAGCAAAACUGAGACAACUGGAAAAAAUUGUCAGAAUUACCUUUUUGCAGAUCUCUGGAAAUUAACAAAGGCUUGCAGAAAGCUUGGGAGUGUCUAGUCAAGGAAAACGACUGUAUCAGUAAGCACAGAAUGCCUUGUUGUGUUUUAACUUACACACGUCCCAUCCCCCACUUUCCAGCUCCAUGGUAGCCUCAAAAACUAACAGCCCCAAAUCACAGUGAAAAGCAGCAGCCUGGCAGCCACUAGAAGGGGCAGAACAGGGCUGGAAAUUUUUCAAAGCUACCUUCCCAGAGAAUUGCCUUUAUUUGAUCUGGCUGGUGGUUCCCUGGAAGACCCUGCUUAGAGGGCUAACUUUAUCUGAUCUUGGAGCUCACUCAGUGUGAAAAGCCUUUGCCUUGAGGGUGUUUGACAAGAACAAUUACAAGCAAUUGUUUAAAUUUAUAGCUAACAGUUGGGGCAACGACAAACUAGCCAAAUAGUGUAAAAAGAAAAACUGGGGAAUGAGAUGUUCAUAGGGCUUUGAAAGCUCCUAAGAAUCUAAAAGGUAACUAACAGCUAAGGAAAACGAAACCUCUCCCAGGCUUUGCAGAUUAAUCUGUUUGGGCACUCCUUCAUGGCUUAGCCAGGCCACUUACAACUCUGCCUUUGCCUUCACUUCCUGUUUGUGCUGAGUCUAGAGAUCGGCCAGAGAUGAAAGCUCAGGAUCUUCUCAGGUCUUUUCUGAGCAUGUGUCAUCCCCAGGUUAUAUGCGUGUCUUUCUAAGUUACCCAGUACACACAGGCACUUUUGAAUGCCCCAAUUUCCCAAAGAAACUCUGUAGCUUUUCUUCCUAGGCUUUUAGCAUGUUUGUUAUUUGCCUCAAUUGUAAUCUUUUGCCCUAGGUUGCAGUAGGUUGUUCAUCUGCCUUAGAAUGUUUUUGAGGAAUGCCCUCUGUGUAAGGCAGUUUUCUGGCCUGAAAGAAUUCCAAAUUAGGUGAAACAGACAGGCACCUUCUGUCAGUCCAUCAGGUAGCCCCUGAGACAGGUCAAAGCAGACAAACACAAUUAUUUGCAAAUAAGGUCUCUGCUCCCUCCAGAACCAGGGACCAGGGUCCCACACUGGGAAUGCAGGCUGCCUUCUUCAAGACUGCUGCCAAGCUGAGCAGGGGAGUAGGUCAAGAACAAGUGAAAAUGCUGCAAUGCUUUCCUACCAUUUUAAAGUUGACUUCUUAUUCAGCAUUCUCUUGGUUUUUCUAAAACUCUGUUUUCAACAAUUCUGGCUCUCUUGAUUCUCAGAAUUUUUGCUCAGUUUUUUUAGUGUUUCUGUACAGUGAUGGGGCCUUGGAACUAGCUACUCUGACAUUUUUGCUGAUGUUGCCCCUUUAGUAUUUCUUGUAAGGCAGGUCUGUUACCAAAUAAUUCUUUCAGUUUUUGUUUCACUCAAAAUUUAUAUUUUUUCCUUCAUUUUUGAAGGAUGGUUUGCUGGAUAUAGAAGACUUAGCUGGUAGGGUCUUUUCUCUCAGUACUUUGUAUUUGUCUUCCCACUGCCUUCUGGCCUCCAUGGCUUCUGAUGAUAAAUCAGCUGUUCGUCUUACUGAGGAGCCCUGAGCAUGAGAAGAAGUUGCAUCCUGCUCCUGUUGGAUGAGGUUGUCUAUAAAUGUCAAUUGCAUCCGUUGACUGAUGCUGCUGUUGCGUUUAACUAUGUCCUAACUGAUUUUUUGCCUGCUGUAUCUGUCCAUUUCCAACACAAGGAUGUUGAGAUUGCCAAGCAUGAUAGUUAAUUUAUCUAUUUCUCCUUGUAGGACCAUCAGUUUUUGCCUCACAUUUUGAUGCUCUGUUGUUAGGCACAUGCACAGCUCGGUUCUCCAGUAAGAACGCUAAACAGCAGAAGUCAUAGUGGGUUGUUUUGUUCCUGAUUAUCAAAAAGAAGGAUUUUGACGUUGCACCAGUAAGCAUGCUUUGCGGUAGCUCUUAUAUAGACAUGUUUCUCAGUAUAAUAGUUACCCUUUAUUCCUUAUUUGCUAAGAUUUUUUAGUCAACAUAAAUGGAUAUUAAAUUCUAGUCAAUAAUUUUUCUGCAUCUUUUGAGGUGCUCAUAUGAUUUUUAUCCUUUAAUCUUUUCGUAUGAUGUAUUACAUUGAUAGAUUUUCUAAUAUUAAAUCAAUACCUUAUAUUCCCAGGAUUAACCUAUCUUGAC